rnacentral:RNase_P_RNA from 1 species
CCUGGCAGUGGUCGUUGUCGCGUCACACGCAGGUGUUUUCACCUGCCUGGCGAGGAAAGUCGGGACAGCACAGGGCACCAUACUUCCUAACGGGAAGGUCUCUUGAAGAAGGGAACAGAGAGGGCCACAGAAAAUUACCGCCCCGUUGUCGGAAGACGACGGAGUAAGGGUGAAAAUGUGAGGUAAGAGCUCACAGCGGCAGUUGGCGACAACUGCCACGGGUAAACCUUAUGGGCUGCAAGGCCAAAUAUGCCGGUAGGGCCUGAUGUUUCAGGUCCAAUAAGUUGCCCGCUUAAUGCCGGUGGGUAGGCUGCUAGAGCCGGUUGGUGACAGCCGGCCCAGAUAAAUGACAAUGGUCUGCCAAUGGCAGAUAACAGAAUCCUGCUUACAAACUGCUACUACAG